rnacentral:rRNA from 1 species
CCUACGGGAGGCAGCAGUGAGGAAUAUUGGUCAAUGGACGAGAGUCUGAACCAGCCAAGUAGCGUGAAGGAUGACUGCCCUAUGGGUUGUAAACUUCUUUUAUAUGGGAAUAAAACGUUCCAUGUGUGGGAUUUUGUAUGUACCAUAUGAAUAAGGAUCGGCUAACUCCGUGCCAGCAGCCGCGGUAAUACGGAGGAUCCGAGCGUUAUCCGGAUUUAUUGGGUUUAAAGGGAGCGUAGGUGGGUUGUUAAGUCAGUUGUGAAAGUUUGCGGCUCAACCGUAAAAUUGCAGUUGAAACUGGCAGUCUUGAGUACAGUAGAGGUAGGCGGAAUUCGUGGUGUAGCGGUGAAAUGCUUAGAUAUCACGAAGAACUCCGAUUGCGAAGGCAGUUCACUAGACUGCAACUGACACUGAGGCUCGAAAGUGUGGGUAUCAAACAGGAUUAGAUACCCGAGUAGUC